CUUUCCCAGCUCACAGAUCCCGGAACCGUGCUGCCGGCUCUGGGCGUUCCCAAGCUGGACUUAAAGGAGCCGAGCCUCAUUCCUGACCUCCAGACCCUGUGCAGUGGCGUGGGGCUUUCCAGGUGACUGCUGUCCUUCAUGUCCUUGUAGUCUAAGACAGGAAAGAUCGAGAGUUCGAGACCCACCUGUAGUAUACAGAGACCCUGUCUCAAAAUUCAUCAGUAUACAGAUCGGGACAGUUGAGGCUCAGGAAUUGUAAAUCUUCCUUGGGAUCGAUUCUAGGAGGAUAUUUUCCCAGGGAGCAGAAGGGAGAAAAGGGAAUGGCAUAAAGAACCACAGAGUGAUCUGCAUAGAUGCUGUCCUUUGACCCUCCCUUCCCGUGAUCCCGCCACGACCUAGGGGAGUUCCAGGGACGCAUGAAGGGCUACAAAUCGGUGUCAGAUCUGCUGCAAAGGAAACCGGAAUCUCUGCCAUCUCUGCCGGCAAGUUCCUCAACCUAUCCGAGCCCUCACUUCUUCCUCGGCAAAAUAAACGUAUCCGAUGGUUUGUAAAGAUGGAACUCGCCCUCUCCUAGUCUUUCCCUCCCACGCCUCACAGAUUCUGAUCGAUUGCUUCUCUAGUCCCACAGUGCCCUCUGCUCAAGGGUGUCUGCAAGCCUUUUAUUCCAAGCUUGCACCCAGGAGUCUCCUCUGACCUGGAAAUCAUUGGGAAGUCGGCUUGUCUUAUUGGCCCCUUUGUGCCAAACCCUGGCGCAGGUGGCCGCAUUCUGGGAUGGCAGGUGUGCCCCUGCUGGGGGAAUAAUGGAGACGUGGCCCCGGCUGAUACCAGGGUGUGAUGGACCAUAGAGGCAGAAGAACCUUUUUCUUAAAAAGUUGUCGCCAGUCAUCUUGGAGGGGGAUAUCCUACUGCGCACUCUGUGACCACUUACCUGGUGCAGGGCACAAAGCAAAUGACACCAAGGAGCAAAGCAGAGGUCACAGAGAGCAGAGAUCACAGUAGAGAAACAUCCUACAGUGCUGGUACUGAGACCGUGUGGGAAAUAGACAUUGUCAAGAUCCCUGUUUGGAGCAAAACAGUAAACCACACGGGAGCGCAUUCAUGCAUCGGGUCACAGCUUAGCAUAUCUGAUACAUCUCAUACCGACGAAAGUCUGGUGGUUCCAGAAGAAAUAGCAUGCUAAAUUGCCACCAAGGCAGUGAAAUCGCCUGGAGAAAACACACAUGCACACCACGGAGCCGAAGAGAGAAAACAAAGGAAGCACUCGGGAGGGAAGGCAUACCUAACAUGAAAUAAGAUGCCAGAAGGAGGCCCAGACCCAUCCAUCAACAGCCCAUCAAUAAAUGCAGAUGCAGGCAGCCUGCCUGGGAAAGAAAAUCUAUGAUCUCGUGUCACUUCCAUGUCUCUCCGCCUCACGUUCCUCCAGGCCCAUCCUGCUCUCCACAGUGAUCAGCUGACUUCACAAAGAAACAACACCAUCCGUCCCCACUCACGGCCAGUGCACCCCACUUUUCCCUGGAGAUGAUCGUGCCCAGAGAGCCCCUGGAAAGAAAACUCUCAGAAGAGACCUGUAAAACGGGAUCAUUUCUGGUUCUGAUGGUAUUAGGGACACUAUUCCUAGGGGUGAGUGAGGGGUGACAACCCUCAGCAUGGAGCAGCAGCAAAAUGUCUGAGGCUUUAGGUGGCCGUACAGGUGAGCGCCCCAGCUACUUGGGAAGACUUAUGCAGUGUGGUGCUUUGAAUGAAAAUGGCCCCCAUUAAAUUCAUAGGGAGUAGCAUUAUUUGAAAAGCUUAGUACUGUGUGGCCUUACUGGAGGAAGUGUGUCCCUGGGAGUGGGCUUGGAGGUUCCAGAAGCUCAAGUGGGGCCCAGUGGCUCACUCUUUUCCUGCUGCCUGUGGAUCCACAUGGAGAACCCUCAGCUCCCAUGUCUGCCUGCUUACAACUAAGCUCCCCACUAUGACGAUAAUGGACUAAACCUCUGAACCGUAAGCCAGCCCUAAUUAAAUGCUUUCUUUUAUAA